UACGUAGGCAGCAAGCGUUGUUCGGAAUUACUGGGCGUAAAGAGUGUGUAGGCGGUGCUCCAAGUCUGGUGUGAAAUCUCCCGGCUUAACUGGGAGGGUGCAUUAGAAACUGGAGUGCUAGAGGAUGGGAGAGGUAAGCGGAAUUCCUGGUGUAGCGGUGAAAUGCGUAGAUAUCAGGAGGAACACCUGUGGUGUAGACAGCUUACUGGACCAUUUCUGACGCUGAGACACGAAAGCGUGGGUAGCAAACAGG
rnacentral:rRNA from 1 species